rnacentral:rRNA from 1 species
GACGAACGCUGGCGGCGUGCUUAACACAUGCAAGUCGAACGGUGAAGCGCCUUCCUUUUUGGUGGGUGUGGAUGAGUGGCGAACGGGUGAGUAACACGUGAGUAACCUGCCCCCUUCUUCUGGAUAACCGCAUGAAAGUGUGGCUAAUACGGGAUAUUCUGGGUCUGUCGCAUGAUGGGUCUGGGAAAGAUAUUGUUUCGGUGUGGGAUGGGCUCGCGGCCUAUCAGCUUGUUGGUGGGGUGAUGGCCUACCAAGGCGGUGACGGGUAGCCGGCCUGAGAGGGUGGACGGUCACACUGGGACGGAGACACGGCCCAGACUCCUACGGGAGGCAGCAGUGGGGAAUAUUGCACAAUGGGCGCAAGCCUGAUGCAGCGACGCCGCGUGAGGGAUGGAGGCCUUCGGGUUGUGAACCUCUUUCGCCAGUGAAGCAGGCCUGCCUCGUUUGUGGGUGGGUUGACGGUAGCUGGAUAAGAAGCGCCGGCUAACUACGUG